rnacentral:rRNA from 1 species
CGAACGCUGGCGGCGUGCUUAACACAUGCAAGUCGAACGGAGGAUUUAUUUCGGUAAAUCCUUAGUGGCGAACGGGUGAGUAACGCGUGGGCAAUCUGCCCUUCAGAUGGGGACAACAUCCCGAAAGGGGUGCUAAUACCGAAUACGAUCACGCUGCCGCAUGGCGGUGUGAUGAAAGAUGGCCUCUAUUUAUAAGCUAUCGCUGAAGGAUGAGCCUGCGUCUGAUUAGCUAGUUGGUGGGGUAACGGCCUACCAAGGCGAUGAUCAGUAGCCGGUCUGAGAGGAUGAACGGCCACAUUGGGACUGAGACACGGCCCAAACUCCUACGGGAGGCAGCAGUGGGGAAUAUUCCGCAAUGGACGAAAGUCUGACGGAGCAACGCCGCGUGAGUGAUGAAGGUUUUCGGACUGUAAAGCUCUGUUGUUUAGGACGAAAGUGCCUGUUGCAAAUAGUUACAGGUAUUGACGGUACUGAACGAGGAAGCCACGGCUAACUACGUG